rnacentral:lncRNA from 1 species
GUGGGAUUUUAUGGGGUUUAGGGGGGACUCAGAGGGUUUGAGGGGGUCCUAUAGGGCUGGGGGGGUUCUAAGGGGCUUGGGGGGGCAAUACAGUGGGGUCCUAUGGGGCUGGGGGGUGCCGAUGGGGUUUGGGGGUUCCUAUAGGGUUUGGGGGGCAAUACAGUGGGGUCCUAUGGGGAUGGGGGGGUCUUAUGGGGUUUGGGAGUGUUAUAUGGGGUUUUGGGGGGUCCUAUGGGGCUGGGGGGUUCUAUGGGGCUGGGGGGAGUCCUAUACAGUUUAGGGGGGAAAUACAGUGGGGUCCUAUGGGGUUUGGGGGGUCUUAUUGGAUUUGGGGGGACAAUACAGUGGGGUCCUAUGGGGAUGGGGGGGGGCUAUGGGGUUUUGGAGGGGGUCCUAUGGAGUUUGGGGGGCCCUAUGGGGUUUUGGGGGGUCCUAUGGGGUUUGAGGGGUCCUAUGGGGUUUGGGGAGGUCCUAUGGGGUUUGGGGGGGUCCUAUGGGGUUUGGGGGGCCUAUGGGGUUGGGGGUGUCCUAUGGGGUUUGAGGGUGUUCUAUAGGGUUUGCGGGCAUUCUAUGGGGCUGGGGGGGGUUCUAUGGGGUUUGGGGGGGUCCUAUGGGGCUGUGGGGAGUCCUAUAGAGUUUAGGGGGGGCAAAUACAGUGGGGUCCUAUGGGGUUUGGGGGGUCCUAUUCGAUUUGGGGGGGCAAUACAGUGGGGUCCUAUGGGGAUGGGGGGUGCCUAUGGGGUUUUGGAGGGGGUCCUAUGGGGUUUGGGGGUGUUAUAUGGGGUUUUGGGGGGUCCUAUGGGGCUGUGGG